CCGCCGCUCCGAUGACGCCGUACCCUCGCAGUGACCCGCACGCCGAACCCCAACGUCGCCGCCUCCACCUCCUCCGUCCUACAGCACCGCCCCUCCGCCCCUACUGCGCCGCCGCCUCCUCAGUCUGCCCUACGGCACCUCCUCCUCGGCCUUGGGGCUGCCAGCUUGAGCGACGAGGGCGCCGGAGUGAUGCCCUCCGUCCUACAGCGCCGCCCCCUCCGCCCCUACCACGUCGUCUCCUCCAUAGUCCGCCCCUACCGCACCUCCUCCUCGGGCUCGGGGCUGCCAGCUUGAGCGGCGUGGGCGGCGGCGCGGUGCCCUGCUCCAGAGAUCCAUCCCUCGAGCACCGAACCCCUCGUUGCUAGUCUCGCUCUCGCCUGCCUCUCUGCGCGGUGUAUACCGCUUCCACCUCCCACGCUUCCUCCGCGCCACCUCUAUCUGUGCAGCGACAAACCCAGAGAUCAUCGUCCCGCCCGCUGGCGAAAGGUGCUCCCUCUUGGCUGCCUGCGAUGCAGAGGAUACUAUCGAGGGCCGCUCGCCGGUGCACGAAUUCCUCGCCGGCAUUCAAAUCCCCUCAUGCGCAGGCCAAUGCAGCAAGUAUUCACUCUGAAGACGCCCCAACUUGUUCAAACAUGAUUACAGAGUAUGAUGAUUUUACAUGGAAGACUAGUUUUGUUAGACCCAUGCAAUCAGAAGUUGUCAAUGCUCUCCGUAGAGGUGACCGGCAGCGAGCAUCAAUGCUUCUUUCGAACUUUCAUCACACUAAAGAAGCACUAACCAAGGAAGAUUUUUCUUAUAUAUUGGAGUAUUGUGCAGAGGCACCUGAUCCUUUGCUUUUCCAAUAUUUCCAGUUUGUUAUGGAAACUUUGGAACUCAUGGAGGAGAAGGCCAUUGGCAUGAGUAAAAGUAUCUACAGAUAUGUCAUUAGAGCUCUGAGCAGAGGGGGAUAUGCGAGGGAGGCACUUCACUGGCUGGCUGUUCUCGGGGAGAAAGAAAGCACUCAUGCCACUAUACCAAUUUUUAAUAUCUUUCUAAACGCCUUUGGAAGUAGAGCAGAUCUGAAGGAUGCUGAAUGCUGUCUUGAGAUACUGGAAAGUCUUUUUCUUGGGAAGUCUGAAAUAACAUACUGUGAGCUUUUGAAGCUUGCAGUGUUACAGGGAAAUUUGCCUGCAGCUUAUGAUAUCUGGAAGGACUGCUCUAGGUAUUAUAGCCCAAGCAUUAUCACACAAAGGAGAUUUAUAAGGGCUUUAACUGCACUAGGUGACCUUCAAUCUGCAUAUCACAUCUUGCAGCAUAUGGUAGUCCUUGCCGCACGAAGCUCUGACUAUCUGAGGGUGUCUUCUAAAAGAAGAUACCAAUCAUCAAGACUAGACAUUCCUGUACCUGCUUUGAAUGAAUUUGAAGAUCUCACCCUUCCAUCAUGUCAAGGGAAGCUGGCUACUGGCGAACAUUUGGUUGAUGCUCAGCCUGAGCUAUUUGAGGAGAAAACUCAGUCAGGCAAUAAUCUUUCUUAUAAAGGAGUAGAUGGUGCUGCAAAUACAUUGAAGUCUGCACCAAAUGCAGUAAAACAAAUUUUGAGAUGGGCGUUCAACGAUGUUUUGCAUGCAUGUGUACAGUUUAACAACUGUCAGUUAGCUGAGCAUUUAUUUACAGAGAUGCAAAAAAUUGGAUUGCAACCAUCAAGUUUUACAUAUGACGGCUUUGUUAAGAUUGUGAUAGCUGGGAAAGGAAUUGCAUAUGCCAACAAAGUGAUUAAAGCCAUGGAGAGAAGAGGCAUUGGACUUUACAGUGAUACACUUGCUGCUCUCUCAGUAGGUCAUAGCAAUAGUUCACAGUUGGAUUUGGCUGAGGAACUUUUGGAAAGAAUUUCAGAGAUAAAACCGAAGCAUAUACAUGCCAUCAAUGCUUUGCUUUCUGGAUGUGCGAUUAUGAAUGAACCAGAAAGAGCUGUGCGCAUACUAGCUAAAAUGAAACAUGUGAACAUGAAGCCAACUCUCAGGACAUAUGAACUUUUGUUUUCUCUGUUUGGAUAUGUAAAUGUUCCUUAUGAAGAAGGAAAUGUGCUCUCUCAUGUUGAUGUUUCCAAAAGGAUAAGUAUCAUUGAGAUGGACAUGUUUAACAAUGGAAUCCAACACAGCUUUGUGUCUAUGAAGAACUUGAUACGAGCUUUUGGAUCUGAGGGGAUGAUAGAGGAAAUGCUGAGGUACCUGAAUAUAGCAGAAAAUAUUUUGUGGAACAUAAAUCCUUAUCAGAAGAGUGAUCUAUACAGCAUUGCGUUGCAUGCUCUGGUUGAUGCGAAGGAAACUCACAGAGCAGUAAUGAUCUUCAAAAUCAUGAGAUCAUGCAGCCUUCCAACUAAUAUUUUAAUUUAUAAUACCAUGAUAGAGUGCUGCAAAUGGCUGCCAUGUUUCAAAUCAGCUAGUGCUUUGCUGUCUUUGAUGCUCCGGGAUGGCUUCAAUCCUACGGUUGUGACUUUUACAUCACUCCUGAAGAUAGGUUGUAUUAGCAAAUGAUGAUUUUGAAUGGGCUCUGGAUCUGCUUGAUAUAUGCAAGAUUGAAGGACUUCAGCCUGACAUACAGAUUUUCAACACAGUACUCUCACAUGCAUAUGCUAGAGGUAAAAUUCAUGUCCUUGAAUAUAUUGUGGAGUGUAUACACCGAGCAAAAAUCCAACCUGACCCAUCAACACUUUGGUACACAUUUUGUGCCUAUGAGGAACAUGAACUGUACAACACUGCAAUUGAGGCAUUGCUAGUCCUCAGCAUGAGAAUGAUAUCUGAGGAUGUCAGCAUUCUUAGUGAGAAAAGAAUUGUUUUUGAAGAUCUAAUCCUCAGUGAAGAGCCUGAUGCUGAAUUGAGAAUCAUAAGGGCAUUCCAAGCAGGUGAAGAAUUUUUCGCGACGGCUUUACUGAACCUAAGAUGGUGUGCCACAAUGGGCGCCACCAUAUCUUGGUCACCAGAGGAGAGUCUUUGGGCAAGGAGGCUGGCAUCCUCGUAUGAUGCUAACAAGAGACCACAUAUAAACCCCUCGGAUGUUCCUAAAUCUUGGAGAAGGAACCAACUUAACCACCCGUAUUGGAAAGCUUACUGAAACAGCAGAUUCAUUGGUCUCUGUCUAGUGGCUCACAGGAUGAAGGCAAAUCUCCCUGUUGUCUAUGAUAACAUUGUUGUGUUCUGUUUUGCUGGUUAACAUGAUUGCAGUGCGAUCGGGCCUCCCUACCUAUCGUGAAGCUUGAUCAUGAAACAUGCAGCGGUUUAUCAUUUCCUUCCCUUCCGCAAGGGGCUGACCUAAUGGCCUUGUUGUACCGUUUUCAGGCUUCUAGGCCAACAGCUCUAUGAUCCAAUUCUUUUAUAUUACUUGAUAGGUUGCUCACUUGAUUGUACGGGCUGUUAGGAGCAUUAGCUUUGCAAAAUUUGUAGGAAUGUAUAUGAUGGUGGCGAAGGUCAAGUCACAUGGCAGUGACAGAAGAAUUAGAGGUGUUACAAGUUACAAUAGCUGGAACCCAAAACUUGUUGUGGUUAAUUUGAUGGUGUUUGGAUUUUGGAACGAUGAUGUUAUAAUUGCAAUUUAUUGUGACAAAGGUAGAUUGUAGAAGGAUGGCGAUGCAUCUGGUAUCACUGAUUGACCUGUUACCGCGUGGUACUGGGUUGGUCUUUGUUGUACUCUGGCAGGUCGUUUCGUUGACUUUGUAGCUGCUCGAAUAACAGCCAUCUGUAAGAUCAUUUGUCUAUCAUAAUUAUCAUCCACUUGGUUUUCCUCCUUUC